UACAGAGGGUGCAAGCGUUAAUCGUAAUUACUGGGCGUAAAGCGAGCGUAGUCGGUUGUCUAAGUCGGAUGUGAAAUCCCCGGGCUCAACCUGGGAAUUGCAUUCGAUACUGGAUAGCUAGAGUUCGGCAGAGGGAAGCGGAAUUUCCGGUGUAGCGGUGAAAUGCGUAGAUAUCGGAAGGAACAUCAGUGGCGAAAGCGGCUUCCUGGACCAGAACUGACGAUCAGGCUCGAAAGCGUGGGGAGCAAACAGG
rnacentral:rRNA from 1 species